CUGAGAGUGAAGCACCUGCAGGCAAUAGGUCCUCAGGAGCCAGAGCAGACUCAGCUGGUGCCUGCACCUGAGGAUCCAGCACAGGUGAGGGCCCUUCAGGCUCAUGCCCCAGCCCCGGCUCAGCUGGUUCUGGAGGCGGGGAAUCCUGUGCAAGCUGGGAUCCCUCAGGUUCAGCAUCCGACUCCGAAUCCCAGGCCAUCACAGCAGAUUUGGUGAGAGGUGUAGCCUAGGGAGAAUUCUGACGGCUGGAUAGGAAGUUCACUUAAGUUUACUAUGUGACCACCACAGCCUGCAGUUCCCCACCCAUGCUUAAAAUGUUAGUUGCUUUGGACACAAUAUCUCCUGGGGUUCUUUCUGUCAGUGGCGCAGCUCAGAAGCAUCUUUGGCAAAUGAGUGAAGUAGGGGAAUUUACUCUCUGGAAAGCACCUGGAUCGAGGCUAAGUGCUGAAGCACCUGAAAAGCACCAAAUCCUGGACAGGGACACACUCCACUGCUCCCAAGGAAAAUGACGCUUCUUUCGUAAUCGUUGCCACGGUGGGCUGAACAGAAAAGCCAUCAAGGAAACGGACAAAUGCAUUUUGAACAAACAGGAACCAAAGGGGACGGAACUUCCAAACAUAUUCUAACCUAAGAACAAAUGAUGGAAUGCAAUGUAUCUACAUCUCAAUUUCAUCCCAACGCUGAGCAUGGCUGAUCAGAAAGCACUUUGAAUGGGCCCAUGCGCCGUGAAGAUUCUCCUGCUUCAAUUCACACCACAGGUGCCAGGUGCCCUGGAGGUCUCUCACAUCCCCUCUUCUGCCCAGAGUUAGAAAAGUGGACCAAUAUCUUCCCCUAAAGGUUAAAUGUGAAAUAGCAGUCAUCCUAUACCUAUAGGCUUUGUAGAACACCCAAACUAAUGGUGUAAUAUGAAUAACGUUCUUUACUGGUGCUCUAUCACCGCUCUUAGAAUCAUAGAAUCAUAGAAUCAUAGAGUUGGAAGAGACCACAAGGGCCAUCGAGUCCAACCCCCUGCCAAGCAGGAAACACCAUCAGAGCACUCCUGACAUAUGGUUGUCAAGCCUCUGCUUAAAGACCUCCAAAGAAGGAGACUCCACCACACUCCUUGGCAGCAAAUUCCACUGUCGAACAGCUCUUACUGUCAGGAAGUUCUUCCUAAUGUUUAGGUGGAAUCUUCUUUCUUGUAGUUUGGAUCCAUUGCUCCGUGUCCGCUUCUCUGGAGCAGCAGAAAACAACCUUUCUCCCUCCUCUAUGUGACAUCCUUUUAUAUAUUUGAACAUGGCUAUCAUAUCACCCCUUAACCUCCUCUUCUCCAGGCUAAACAUGCCCAGCUCCCUUAGCCGUUCCUCAUAAGGCAUCGUUUCCAGGCCUUUGACCAUUUUGGUUGCCCUCCUCUGGACAUGUUCCAGUUUGUCAAUGUCCUUCUUGAACUGUGGUGCCCAGAACUGGACACAGUACUCCAGGUGAGGUCUGACCAGAGCAGAAUACAGUGGCACUAUUACUUCCCUUGAUCUAGAUGCUAUACUCCUAUUGAUGCAGCCCAGAAUUGCAUUGGCUUUUUAGCUGCCGCGUCACACUGUUGGCUCAUGUCAAGUUUGUGGUUUAAGGACUUGAGUAAGAAGAAGCUUUUCUAGAAUAUUUUUGGCUGAUGUAGACUCGUUUUUUAAUCUUGGAUAUACGUUUUGUGAUACUGCUCCUAUGUCUUGCCAGUGAUGUCAUCAGGGCAUCAGUAUGAAUCUCGACUCGGUGAUAUUACCAUGUCAUGGAAUUCCUAGAGUGAUUUUCUGCUAUCUUAACUAUGUAGCACAUGAGACCACCGUGAGAGUUAUUCCAUAACGCACAGCACUUUGCCUCCAACGUUGGAAUAAAUUUGCCUCCCAGUAACAGCUGCUUGGAAUCCCCAGUGAAGAGAGUCCCUGUCACUCUCAGGUCCCGCUUGCAAGCAUCCCAUAGUCAUCUGGCUGGCUCUUUGUGAGAACAGCAUGUUGGACUAGAUGGGCCUUUGACCUGAUCCAACAAAUCUCUACUUGUGGUCUUAUAGACCUGCAAACUUUUCAUUUCCCUUUUUGCUUUGGGAGGGAGGGUGGUAUUGAACUGUAAUAGCUAAAUCUCAAGAUGUAUUGAUCUGUGCAUGGAAAAUAGGGGUUUGUGUGCGAACUCAACCUAGAGAAAGGACGGGAGGCAAUCUCAUUCCUGUUCCCUUAAUCUCUAGGAUGCAAAGAUUAUUCAGAUGUGGUGGACUUGUAAAAGGGUAAAGGGGUAUUGGGAAAUGAUCCAUAAUGAAUUGAAAAAAUGUUUAAAAGUGCUUUCCUCCAAUAACCAGAGUCCUUUCUGUGGUGGAUAAUUCAGACUGAAAUUCCCAGGUCUCAAAAAAGGUUAUUUAUGUAUGCCACUACUGCGGCUUGUGCUUUGUUAGCCCCCAAAUGGAAAAUGAGUGAGGUCCCAAACAAAGAAGGAUGGCAAUGUAAGUUGACAGAAUAUGCACAACUCGCAGACUUAACAUAUACAAUAAGAGAACAAGAAGAACAUACAUUUAAAGAAGAUUGGAAAAUGUUCAUUGUCGGGGAACCAGCCCACCAGGUGCGGAGGAAAAUAACGAAGAGUCAUGGGUGAAGGUCUAAGCAAGGAGUGAGCUCUGUCCCCCAGCAGCCUUGCAUGUUUAUUAGCCUUGCGCACAUUACAUCAUGUUGCAUAUACACGUGUAGCACUCGGGUGGAAAACAGCUAGGGUUUGCAUUUCUCAGAAUAACUAUUCUCUACCAGGACAUAACUCCAGACAGCAUGACAGCCUUGCGGUUAGGCAGCGACAGUGACCCAGGCGUGUGGGGGGAACAAGUCAGCAGAUGUUUCCUCUUGCACAAUCUUGCACAAGGGUGCCGUUUUUCUAUUGCACCCCCACAUGCCCUCCUUUUUUAUUAUUUAAUCAGAGUCAUAAAUUUCAUUCCGAGGCAGAAGCUCGCCAGGGUCGCACACAGCGCGCUGGUAACCAGGUGGGCCGUCCAUCCAGGUCCACUGCCGCGUAGCCGCGUCCCCAGGAGAUGAGUGGCACAGGACCAUGCCAUGUUGGAUCAGGUAGCUGUCUGUAAGAUACAAGAGGCCGAGCCAAAGGCUCUGCUUUUCGAAAAUGAAUCUCAGCCGGUGUAUAUUCCCUAUUAUGGGGAUACAAAAGAUGGUUAAGAGUGAAUAAAACAGUAUGCACGAUUGAAGGAAUCUCGGCGGAGGGGGCAUUUCGACCUCCAAGUUGUUUGGACAGCAGUGUCUUGAAGGUCAAGUGCACCCUCUCCACAAUCGCCUGUCCUGUUGAAUUAAAAGGCAAACCAUGGAUUAAUUUCACAUUCCAUAAAUCACAAAAAGGAUGAGAACUGAGAGGAAAUAUAGGCUGGGCCAUUAUCCGUUUUAAUGCUUUGUGGCUUACCCAUCACAGCAAAACAGCGCAGGGUGUGCUGAAUGACGUGACGAGCGGUCUCACCCUUCAAUGGGGUGGCCCAGAUAAAUCCAGAUGAGGUGUCCACUGUCAAGUGAACUUUUGAGAAUGGGGCGAGCAGAGGGGUGUGAGUAACAUCCAUCUGCCAAACCGCAAGAGGGGACGUACCUGUGAUGGCCUGGGAUUCCGAUUCGGAGGAUGAAACAGAGGAAUCCCGGCCUGCACAGGAGUCCCCGCCUCCAGGGCCGGCUGAACUGGGGCAAGGCCUUGAUGCUGAAGAGCCUGCACCUGUGGCAGUGCAUCAGGAGCUGGCCCCAGGUGAAGCCCUUCGGGCCCCAGAGGGGCUUGAUGACUCAGUGGCCACAGGUGAGCCUCCUCCAGGGCCCAGUAACCCUUCGGCCUCUCCUGAUCUGCAGAGGCUUAGGGCAGAGAGGCGAAGGGAACUGGUUGCCCCCAGGAGGAGUGCUCGCCUUAAGGCCAGAGGAGGCGGGGCUCCUGGGGACCGGGACCGCCCCUGGCCUUAGAAGAGGAUAAAAGCCCAGUCAGCCCGGCCCCAGGUUGCGGGAGCAACGUCGUUGUUGGCUCGGACCUUCCUGUGUUCCUGAUCCCUGCUCGGCUUCCUGUUCCUGACUAUCCGGUACUCCUGUUCCCUGCUCGGCCUCCUGUUCCCGACCAUCCGGUGUUCCUGUUCCCUGCACAGCCUCCUGUUCCAGCAUUCCUGUUCCCCGCCCGGCUCUCUGCCUCGGACCUUGCCCCUCUUCGUGUGGACUCUGCUACACCCAAGGUACCUUACCCCGGGACCAGCACAGUUUGCUCCCGCCAAACCCGCACUCCCCCUUCGUAGGGGUGCGUUCGGGAAGAGCCAGAGGCCAUGGCUGACCAGGCGGCUGCACUGGUGGCUUUGGCCCAGAAGAACCAGGCCUUGACUCACACCGUGCAGCAGCUCAGUGACGCGGUUGUGGCACUUCAACAACGCUUGGAAGCCCUACCGGCUCCUGGGGCCGACGCCCGGCUCCUGGCAAGUACCCAGUGGCUUUGCCUGAGAAAUUUGAUGGAGCCCCGGCCAGCUUUCCCAUGUUCCUGGCCCAGGCCAAGCUGUAUAUUCAGGGGCGAGCCCGGAACUUUCCUGACGACCGCACCAAGGUGCACUUUUUGAUUAGUUUGUUAAAGGACCAGGCGGCCAAGUGGGCGUUGCCGCUACUCAGGCAAGACUCCCCCUUGCUGGCAGACUAUACGGGGUUUUGCAAUCGUUUGGAGGCCGCGUUCGGCAACCCCCAGAAAGGGAGUCAAGCCAACCGGGCGAUUCGGCGUUUGAAACAGGGCAAGUCCACGGUGGCCGCAUAUACCACGGAGUUUCGGCUGUUGGCACAGGACUUGACCUGGAAUGAUUCGGCACUGCGGGACCAGUAUCUCGAAGGGCUUUCGGACGAGGUACUGGACCAGUUGGCCACAAUGGAACGCCCCACCACGCUAGACACUCUCAUUCAACGGAGUCUACAAAUAGACGACCGGUUGGAGGAUCGUCGUCAGGCCCGGGGUCGCCGACACUUCCAGUUCACGGCACCAGCUUUUUCCGGCAGCCCCACGGUCACAACUGAUUUAACGGAGGAGCCUAUGCAGCUCGGGGCAGUGCGGCCACGCCUUUCCCCCCGCAGAGAAGGCGCGGCGUCGGGGGGAAAUCUCUGUCUUUACUGUGGCGGAAGUGGACACUUCGCUCGGUCUUGCCCUGAGAAACGCCAGCCGCAGAAGCCGCCAACCCCAGUAGCUGAUGGCCCUAGCUGCCGGGGGUCCCAAACCGCGCAGAAUGGGCCUGCAUCAAUGGACUCGCAACAUCUUAUGGUUCCGGUGCGUUUAUACCCUCCAGGUGGGCCCUGGAUCCCCACCCAUGCUUUGGUGGAUUCAGGGGCAACCCGCUCUUAUAUGGACGCUGCUUUUGCCGCCCAUCAUCAGGUGCCACUUCGGAACAAGCCAGUACCGGUCCAGGUGGAAGCGAUUGACGGACGACUUCUGUGUUCAGGUGCCGUUACUCAGGAGACCCAGCCCCUGGUCCUGUGUUUCCAGCAGCACCGGGAGUUGCGAACUUUGGACAUUGCCUCUAUGCCCCGCUUCCCCCUGGUGCUCGGGAUGGACUGGCUGGAAGCCCACAACGUUCAGAUUCACUGGGUCAAACGGACCGUGCACUUCCCAGACCCAUGUUCCCAUGCUCAAUCCGGGACGCUGGCGGCCGCGCCCUCAGAGGAGGCAGCACCCACGCUCCCAGCCGUGUAUCAGGACUACCAGGACGUGUUCGAGGAACGGGGGCAGACCAGCUGCCGCCGCAUCGGCCUUCUGACUGCGGCAUAGACCUCCAACCCGGAGCGCCUCUACCAGUGAGUCGCUUAUAUUCUCUAACAGAGCCAGAGCGCGAGGCUUUGCAGGACUUCUUGCGCAAGAACCUGGAGCGUGGGUUCAUUAGGCCGUCCACCUCGCCUACCGCGGCACCAGUGCUUUUCGUUAAGAAGAAAUGUGGGGAACUCCGCCCUUGCCAUGAUUACCGAGCCUUGAACAAAAUUACCGUCCCAGACCGAUACCCCUUGCCCCUUAUCUCGGAGCUGCUGGAGCGGGUGCAAGGGGCACAGGUGUUCACCAAGCUGGACCUCCGGGGGGCCUACAACUUGAUUCGGAUCCGAGCCGGGGAUGAGUGGAAGACAGCGUUUGGGACCCGGUACGGGCAGUUCGAAUAUUUGGUUAUGCCUUUCGGGUUGUGCAACGCGCCUGCUGUGUUCCAACGCUACAUCAACCACGUGUUUCAGGACUUGUUAGACAAGUACGUGGUGGUGUAUUUGGAUGACAUACUGAUUUACUCCCGUGACCCGGCUCGCCAUGAGGGACAUGUCCGGACCGUGCUGCAGCGCUUGCGUGAGCACCGUUUGUACGCAAAGCUCAGCAAGUGCGAGUUCCAUCAGCGGACUGUGGACUUCCUUGGUCACCGGCUCUCUCCGGAUGGGGUGCAAAUGGACCCGGGGAAGGUGACAGCGGUUCAAGAAUGGGCGGCACCCCGGAACCGCAAGGACCUACAACGUUUCCUGGGGUUCGCCAAUUACUACCGGACCUUCAUCGCUGAUUAUGCUCAUCGCACCACCCCGUUGACCCGGCUACUGCGCCCAAAGACGCCGUUUUCCUGGGACAAGGAGGCAGAGGAGGCGUUUCAGGGGUUGAAGGCCUGUUUCCAGAGGGCACCAAUCUUACAACAUCCUGACCCCUCUCGACCCUUUGUGGUGGAGACCGACGCCUCCAGUACGGCUCUCGGUGCCGUCUUGUCUCAACAGAUUGGGCCCGAAGCGCCACUCUUACCCUGUGCCUUCUAUUCCCGCCAGCUCCUACCAGCGGAGCGUAACUAUACUGUGUGGGAGCGGGAACUACUGGCCAUCAAGGUAGCCUUUGAGGUCUGGCGCCACCAUCUUGAGGGGCACGACAUCCGGUGGAGGUAAGAACCGACCACCGGAACCUGGAAGUACCUCCAGACCACCCGCAAGCUGAACCAAAGACAGAUCCGGUGGGCGUUGUUCUUUUCCCGGUUCCAGUUUCGGAUCCGCUACAUCCCUAGCUCUCAGAAUCUGAAGGCGGAUGCCCUGUCCCGGAAACCUGAAGACAACGCAGACACGGUACAGCAAGCAGAACCCGCCACGAUCCUACCUCCGGCCGCAUUCCUGGCCACCCAGGAGGCGCAGCCACUGCAGGUUCGGGUGCGGGAACAGCAGCGGGUCGACGCUUGGGCCCAGGACCGACUCCGGGAGCUGGCUGAAGGGUCCAGCCCACAGUAUCCGGGGCUGGUCCUGCAUCAGGGCCUCCUGCUGCACCACGGUCGUCUGUACAUCCCGCCAGGGCCACUGCGGCUGGAGGUUCUCCGGAUGGCCCAUGAUGCCCCGGCAGCGGGGCACUUUGGACGGUAUCGGACCACCCAUCUGGUCAGUCGUGAGUUUUGGUGGCCCCGCCUGAAGGCUGACGUGGCUCGCUACGUUGCUGGUUGUGAUGUCUGCCGACGCGCCAAGGGGCCUACCGGGCGACCCCCGGCCUACUUCAGCCAUUGCCAGUUCCACCGCGCCCUUGGCACACAGUUUCGUUGGACUUUGUAGUGGACUUACCCUCGUCUCGUGGCUGUACCUGCCUUCUGGUUUUCUCCGACCAUUUCACCAAGAUGGUGCACUGCGCUCCCUGUCCAUCUGUACCCACAGCCAAGGAAACUGCUCAGCUGUACCUUCAGCAUGUCUUCCGCCUGCAUGGACUACCUGAGCGCGUGGUGUCCGACCGGGGCGUUCAGUUCACAUCCCGGUUCUGGCGAGCAUUACACCAGACCCUCGGGACAGAGGUCUGCCUCUCGUCAGCCUACCACCCACAGACCGAUGGCCAGGCGGAGCGGGCGAGCGCGGUGCUGGAGCAGUACCUCCGGUGUUACUGCAGCUACCAGCAGGAUGACUGGGUCGACCACCUGGCAUUGGCGGAGUUCGCCUAUAACAACGCGGUGAAUGCGUCCACCCAGCAGACCCCGUUCCAGGCCAGUUAUGGUUAUCAUCCACGGCUGUUUCCAGAGGUGCUGCCGGCAUCCGCGGUCCCGGCGGUGACGGAGUGGCUUCAAGAGCUCCAGUCCCAGCAACAGCUUUUGGUGGAGCAACUGCACCAGGCCAAGGAAGCGUACAAAGCCCAGGCCGACCGCCACCGCCAGGUGGGGCCGGACCUUCGCGUCGGUGACCUGGUUUGGCUCUCCACUCGCCACCUCCACCCCUCUCGACCUUCGCGGAAGUUGGACGCCCGCUUCACCGGCCCGUUCCCUAUCGUAGACCAAAUCUCUCCUGUGGCAUUCCGUCUCCGGUUACCCGCAACCCUGAAGGUUCACCCGGUCUUCCACAGGUCCCUUUUGAGUCCGGUGGCCCCACCCGACGAGUUCCACCAGAACCGUCCCCGACCGCAGCCAGUGUUGGUUCGGGGAGAGCCUGAGUACGAGGUGGAACGCAUCCUGGACUCCCGAUACCGCAGGGAAAGCUGCAGUAUCUCAUUGACUGGAAGGGGUACGGACCGGAGGACCGUUCCUGGGAACCAGCGGCCAAUGUCCAUGCACCUGCCUGCCUCCGAGAGUUCCAUGCGACGUAUCCCGGCAAGCCGGGUCCGGACCCUCGGUUGAGGGGGCCUGGGAGGGGAUGGUGUGAUGGCCUGGGAUUCCGAUUCGGAGGAUGAAACAGAGGAAUCCCGGCCUGCACAGGAGUCCCCGCCUCCAGGGCCGGCUGAACUGGGGCAAGGCCUUGAUGCUGAAGAGCCUGCACCUGUGGCAGUGCAUCAGGAGCUGGCCCCAGGUGAAGCCCUUCGGGCCCCAGAGGGGCUUGAUGACUCAGUGGCCACAGGUGAGCCUCCUCCAGGGCCCAGUAACCCUUCGGCCUCUCCUGAUCUGCAGAGGCUUAGGGCAGAGAGGCGAAGGGAACUGGUUGCCCCCAGGAGGAGUGCUCGCCUUAAGGCCAGAGGAGGCGGGGCUCCUGGGGACCGGGACCGCCCCUGGCCUUAGAAGAGGAUAAAAGCCCAGUCAGCCCGGCCCCAGGUUGCGGGAGCAACGUCGUUGUUGGCUUCGGACCUUCCUGUGUUCCUGAUCCCUGCUCGGCUUCCUGUUCCUGACUAUCCGGUACUCCUGUUCCCUGCUCGGCCUCCUGUUCCCGACCAUCCGGUGUUCCUGUUCCCUGCACAGCCUCCUGUUCCAGCAUUCCUGUUCCCCGCCCGGCUCUCUGCCUCGGACCUUGCCCCUCUUCGUGUGGACUCUGCUACACCCAAGGUACCUUACCCCCGGGACCAGCACAGUACCCCUAGGGUUCACCGCAUCAAAGGGAAUCAUGGUUGGAGCCUUAGAACAGGUAGGACAUUGAGAGACAAUGUCUCGUGCCUGUGCAAUAGGGAUUUUAAACAUCUUUGCCAAAACUUUAGCAGGCUGGUGAAAGGUAGAAUGAGAGAAUAGGGUCAGAAAACAAGGAAAACACUUCAGAUCGCAGUGCAGCGUCUGCCACGGCAUUUCCCUGAGCCAAAAACCCUGGGUGAUUGGUGUGGGAACGAAGGUGUGCAACAUAAAAAGGAUGACGGCGUUCUUGAAUAAUAUACUGCAAGGUAGAAAAAAGAACAAACAAAUCAGCAUCUAAUGCAGGCGUGAUAUAAGAAACAGGCAGGGAAGACAGAAGGCGAUACACAUAUUGUGUAUCAACAAGCAAAUUAAAAGGUUUGUCAGGAAAGAGUUGAAAGGCAAGGAUUACAGCAGCAAGUUCAGCCCGCUGGGCGGACCUCUGCUGCUCAGUAAAUUCAGUUUUCCAUUUUCCACCCUCCUCCCAUGCCACCACCCCCGCGUUUUUGACCCAUCAGUGAAAAGGGUAAGGGCAGAGGGGAUGGGGGUCGGAGAGAGAGCAGUUUUUAAAGUAUAGACAGUUUGAGAAAGAAAAGCCAAGCGUGGAUCAGAGGGGGGAUUAUGCGUGAUGGUUCCCAAAAUCCACAAGUGCUACUUGAGUAGCCACGGAGGUGGAAAUCAGGUGUUGUGUUUCUGUGAGUGAAAAGGCAAGUAAAUUUUUCAACGUCCAGUCCAGAGAGGGCUUUUGCUCGAGCGCGCCCUUUAAUUACCAAAUCCAUUACAGCCGCUGGAGAGGAAUAAAUGUUACGCGGUGGAGUAUGCGGAAGGUGUAUCCAUUCCACAAUGUUGACACUCGAGGGGCAGCCGAUUUCUGUGAGUAGAGAAUGGCUGUAGGCAGCAAAGGUGUGGAAAAAUUGCCAAGGAUAACUGCACAUUGUGCAGAGUGUCUAUGCGAUCCACCAUUCGGUCUCUUAAUAAAGCAUUAACCUGUUGUAAGGCUUGUAGCAUUUCUUCUGUAACUGGGAUGACUUCUCCGGGUAGUUUGUGUCCUUGUAAGGCAGAAAACAAUGGUGACAAGGUGCUAGUAGGCAGAUUAAGGUAAUUCUUAAUCCAAUUCAGGUGUCCCAAAAGUUGUUGAAGGUCAACCAGCCGUAGGCGGGCAGGAAAAGACAAUUGGGGAACAACCGGAAUAGCAGCUUGUUGUGUCAAUUUAUGUCCAAGAUAUAACAUAGGCAAAGUUUGCUGAACCUUAUCUGGGGCAAUACACAGUCCAAAAUCUGUGAGAGCAGAUGUAAGGUCUCUUAAUAAUUCCACUGAUAUGUGCUUCGCAGCCACAAGGAUAUCAAUUGGGUGGAGGCUUUGACAGGCUGGCGUUUCUCCCCCGACACCCAAAACUUGGGCAGGUGCCUUCGUGGGCCAUUCGGGAGGCCAGUCUUGUUUAGCAAUCACAGUAACGUCUGCCCCUGUAUCCAGAACCCCCUCUACCUCACGUCCACCCAGUGUCAUUUUUAAUGUAGGGCGCUGAGCUGUGAGAGGCAUUGCAGCAGCAAUUAAGGGGUAUCUGUAGGAGUUGUGGCAUCCGCAGAGGAGCAGUAUGACUUUAGCCACUGGCGUGCCAGAUGAAAGUCCUAAGAGGGGGGCUGCGUGGUUAAUUGCAGUCCCCCGUGGCGUCGGCGGAGGCUGAUAAUCUGGUGGUCGUGGCGGAGGCCGUGGUGGUGGUAGAAGCUGUGCAGCCGGAUAUAUAAAAGGCAUAUUCAGGACUGUUUUUUUGUUGUGGUUGCAACGAAGCCAAGAGGAUGUUUUUGGGCGUAAGAGUUGCCAUGCAGCCACGGACUUUAGCCCAGGCACUAAGGACGUGAAGAUUUAUGCGGCCAUGGCCAUGAAAGUGGUCGCCAAUGCUGUUCCAUGCUGGAAUUUCCCAUGUCCCGUCCUCAGGGAACCAUGGACAAUGUUCAUCUAUUGCCAGAAUCAAUGCAAUUAGAUCACCUUCAGGUACUUGCUGUUUAUUUUCCCGAAGGAGGUGCUGCAUGUCUUUUAAAAAUUGUUUCUGAGGGUUGGAGAGCGCAGAACCCAUGAUAAAAAUAGAAAAAUAGCUACUCACCGGGGAUCCGAAGAUGAGAGGCGCCUUGAGCCACAGCCGGGCGGGUGAGUAGCAGGGAGGACCGUCUUUGACAGCACGCGUCCUGGAAGCCGUUCAGGCCUCACACGAGGCACCAUUUGUCGGGGAACCAGCCCACCAGGUGCGGAGGAAAAUAACGAAGAGUCAUGGGUGAAGGUCUAAGCAAGGAGUGAGCUCUGUCCCCCAGCAGCCUUGCAUGUUUAUUAGCCUUGCGCACAUUACAUCAUGUUGCAUAUACACGUGUAGCACUCGGGUGGAAAACAGCUAGGGUUUGCAUUUCUCAGAAUAACUAUUCUCUACCAGGACAUAACUCCAGACAGCAUGACAGCCUUGCGGUUAGGCAGCGACAGUGACCCAGGCGUGUGGGGGGAACAAGUCAGCAGAUGUUUCCUCUUGCACAAUCUUGCACAAGGGUGCCGUUUUUCUAUUGCACCCCCACAGUUCAUUGAAUAUAUGGGAAAUUAUCGUGCACAACUGAAAACUCUGGAAACAUUAAGAUAAAUUCAACAGUGUAAACAGCUUUUGAUGGAUGCAAUAAUGGAGUACUGAAUGGUUUAGUUUACCUAAAAUAUGUAGGGAUUUAUGAUAUGUAAAAUGAACCAUGGAAAGAAAAGAAGGGAUGUCAUUGAUAUCUUAAGGAUGUAAAAUGAGUUUUUCAAAUUGUAAAACAGAAAAUUUAAUAAGAAUUAUAUAUAAAAAGAAAUAAAAAAGGAAGAUUAAAGGGAUCAAAUUCAGAUUAAAUGAAUCUAUCUAAUCGUUGGCAACUCCCUGCUGCGAAGGAAGAAGAUUGGGAGUUUUUGUUUUAGCUCCCCGUCAGAUUUUAGCACUGUGCCACAUGCUGCUGAUCCAAGCCCCACAGUAAUAGUCAGCCUCAUCUUCAGCCUGAGUGUUGGUGAUGGUUAAAUAGCCUGUAUUCCCAGAGAGGGAAGCAGUGAAUCGAUCUGGGAUCCCUUCCCCCCUGCUGUCGCUAUUACCAUGCACAUAGCGAGGGGCCUGACCAGGUCUCUGUUCAUACCAGGCAACAUAGGUGCCACUGGGAGUAGUGUUGGCAGUGCAAGGGAGUUUAGAAGUUUGUCCCGGGGACACAGACUCAGAGGCAGGUUGAAUCAGAGUAUGUUGAGAAACCUUAGCAGAAAGAAAGAAAAAUGGCAUUGAUUCAUUUGGUUUGCACUGAAGCAUCAUAAAAGCUGCGUGAUCAAAGUUCCAUAGAGCUGGUUUUAUUGCCCCAGAAAUCUAUGAAGAGGAGCCCUCCACAGCCUUACCUGAGAAAUAGCUGAGAAGUGCAAGGAAGGACAGAGCCCAGGCCAUGCCAAGCUCCGAAGACGAGUUAGGCUUCGUAAAAUAAGCAGAAAACUUGUAGGAACCUUCCUCUCUUAUAUCUGCCCAGUUUAUUCUUAUAUCUGCCUAGGAGCUUGCUAUGUACUGAGUUGAAUAGGAUCCAAAAUGCAGCAGUCUGAUUGGUCCUAGAACAAUGCAGCAGUAUGACUGGCCCGCAGGAGCCACCCAAUCCAGCUCCAGGUGAAAGUGAAUCCACAACCUGAUUGGCCUACAGGAGAAUCCCAGAAUUAGCCAAUCAUGUGCGGCCCAUUGUGUAAAUAAUGUAUAUAAAGCAGAUAUUUUGGGGGAACUUUCAUUCCUCCUCACCACUAUGAGCAGAAUAAAGAGAAUGAAAUCCACUCUCCACUCCAAGUACCGUAUUUUUUGCUCUAUAAGACUCACUUUUUCCCUCCUAAAAAGUAAGGGGAAAUGUGUGUGCGUCUUAUGGAGCGAAUGCAGGCUGCACGGCUAUCCCAGAAGCCAGAACAGCAAGAGAGAUCGCUGCUUUCACUGCGCAGUGAUCCCUCUUGGUGUUCUGGCUUCUGAGAUUCAGAAUAUUUUUUUUCUUGUUUUCCUCCUCCAAAAACUAGGUGGGUCUUGUGGCCUGGUGCGUCUUAUAAAGCGAAAAAUACGGUAUAUUUCAGAACUGAAACCGAAGGGAGUCUUAUACAAAGCUAUAGACGUCCAUUGGGCUUUGUGGGAAAUGCCACUUUUCCUCUGAGGGGGCGGGGCAUUCUAUCCUAGCCAAAGAGCAGAGAAGAUAUUUGCAUGAAGGGGAAUAUAUUUAAAUGAGAGAGAAGGCUUCUAGCUCAGUUCUGGAUGAGGGCAAAAAUCCCACAGCUGUAGCAUCCCUCACCCUCUUCUGUACCGGAAAUGUGGAAGCUUGCCAAACACCUCUUUCCCUGUUCAUGGUACUGAAGGGUUUAGUCAACCACUUCAAAAUUUAGGAAAUAUUUCCUGAGAAAAUAACACAUUAUUUUAGCACACAGAACCAUCCCCAAAAGCCAUCUUGGCUCUUCUAAUUACUCUAAUUACUCUACAGAAGGAGAUAUGUUGGAGAAAACUAUUCCAAUGGUUCUUUCACUCACAAACCCUUUAAAUCCUGUAUUAAAGGCAUAUUUGUGUAUGGAUAGGAUGGGUCUGUGAACUGGAUUUGAGAACCAAAGGAGUUACCAUCUCAAAAGAAGGGCCACACUGCCCAGGUAUUGCAAUCAGUAAUACAUUAUCAGGUAUGUUGGCAGACAGGAAAAAGCCACAACCUCAACUUUCCGCCUCUUUCUGUGAUGUAUGUAUGAUCCUUUUUGGGUGGUUUUUGGCCAAGGAGUUGGGCAAUGUCUUGGUCUCUCUCACCUCCUUGCAAGAGGCUGGGGACCGGGGUGGAGGAAGGGGUGAGUGGUGGAUGCGGACGGCCCCAGGUAUCACCACGGGGGGGGUGUGACAAAAUGCCGGGCAGCACUCACCGCGGGGCCUGCAACAUGCCCAAGCCACGCUUCUCUCCUUGGAGAGAGAGAGAGAGACAGUGGCUUGGGUGCGCACAGGCUCCACACUGCCCAAACGGCCCAGCCACUGCCUCCCCCCCAGCUGUAGGGUGGCGGAGUGGGAGGAGGCAGGCAGACUCUGGAGGCCCCGUGGUGCUAUGGGCAGCUUGCCUUACCCUCGCCCACCGCUAUGGGCGGCUUGCCCCGCCCCUGGGUGUGCUGCCCCAGGCACCGGAGCCUCUUCCUCCACUGCUGCUGUGGACUCUGUUGCAACAGAAAAAACAAAGAUCUGCCUUGCUAUCACUGGAUCCUGACUUAUCCAUUCUCCUCUGACUGAUCAUGGGUGUAGGGGACUCAUAGUCCCUUGGGGAGUUGUGCAGUUGAAAGCCAACCCCCAGGUUCUCUGCAGUAUAUUGCACCUGGCUCUAUUGUUCAAAGAGCUCAAGGCACAGAUCAGAUAGAAUGCUCUGUAGCAUUUCUCAGAGUUCUGCACUGAAAGAAGAAGAGAGGUUUUUGUCUCAGUUCCCCAUCAGAUUUGAUCACUGUGGAACACAGCUGUGUCAAACCGAACCCAGACAGUAAUAUUCAGCCUCAUCUUCAGGCUGGAUGUCAGUGAUUGUUAAAUAGCCACUAUUCCCAGAGACAGAAGCAGUGAACCGAUCUGGAAUCCCUUCACCCCGAUCGUAGCCAUUAAAAUGCACAUAGCGAGGGGCCUGUCCAGGUCUCUGUUGAUACCAGCCAAUAUAGCUCAGACUGCUGGUGUAAGUGCAGGAGAGUUUUGCCGUUUGUCCAGGAGAUGCAGAAUGAGAAGCAGGUUGAAUCAAAGUAAUCUGUGAAAUCACAACUUUAUAAAAAGAAAAAGAAAUGCAUUGUAAAACCUAGAUUGAUUCAUUGUGCUCCCAAAUAUCUGCCAGGCUGUAUGAUAUGUGCACAAUAUAAAUAGUUUUGUGGUUGGCUCAGAAUCCAAUGGAAAAUUGAGUCUUCUAAACUCUUACCUGAGAAACAGCUAAGAAUUGCAAUGAAGGACAGAUCCCAGGCCAUGGUGAGCUCUCAAGAGAAGUUUGACUUUGAAAAGCAAAAUGGUAACUAGUUGGAACCUUUUUUCCUUCUUCCUUAAACCCUGCAAGGAGCUUCAGAUGAAGGAUCUGUCAUAUAAAGUUAUUGACACCCAUUGACUCUGGAGAAAUUCCACUCCUCUCAGCCAAUGAUCAGAGAAGACGUUUGCAUGAGAGAGAUUAUUUAAAAAGAAGAGAUGAGGUGAUCUUGAUGUGGAGGAGGAGCUGGAACCAGGCUGACUACACACACACACACACACACACACACACACACCCCACACACCCCGUCCCAAGAAAAUUAAGCUGGUUUUGCCAAGUCCAUUGCAAUGAGCUCAACACAUCAAGCAAAUGAGCAAAUGGAGUGACAGAUGAAUGAAUCAAAGUGAAUGAAACUAUUCUAAAACAUCAAAUUAUAAAGGAAAUGAGUAUAAUUGAACAGGAAACAGCAGUGAAGAUUCACCUGUUUCAUUUCACAUUGCAGGGGUGGGGGGCUCAGGUGGUCUCUCAGAUCCUCAAAUGCAGUGGUUUUCAAGCAGUGUGCAGUGGCACCCUGAGGUGCCUUGAAUGAUGGUCAGGGCGCCAUGGGCAACGCUGGCCUCUGCCCCUUUCCUUCCCUCCUUACUCUGAUGCCCUCUCACAUCUCUGCCUCCCAAAGGCUUGCACAGCUGUUUGUUGCAACAGCCCUGGGUACAAGCUCCCCAGGUGAAUGGUGCCUCUGGGGCUGGCCAGGGGGUGAUUCCCAGGCUCCUGUGGGACAGUGUGAGGAGGCACCUCUUUUUGUGGCAUGGAAGGGGGUGGAAGCUCAGAGACCAGGGGUAGAAGCGGCUGUUGCCCAGAGGAUUCCCAGUGAGAGGGGUGAGGAGAGGAGGCUGAGGGAACACACUAAAAAGGAAGGUGUUUGAAAAGAGUUGUAGGGCGGCCAGCUCAGCCGGCAAGAGGUGACAUAGAUGGGCUCCUGAGUCCCACAGGGGUGCCACAGGAAGAACGUAGCUGGUCAAGGGAGUUGUGGACUCAAAAAGAUUGAAAACCUCUGCUUUAGGACAUAGGGCAGGUAUGCUGGUCCCAUGGGUAGAUCGAGAGACGAUGUCCUAGUCCAGUCCGAGGUCGAAGGAGCAAUAUGAAGGCAGUGCGUAAAAGCUGAGGCAGGGUGCAGGGCAGGGUUCAGGCAGGAACUGGAGACCAACAAUGUUGCUUCGCAACUUGGGACUGGGGCUGGCUGGCUAUUAUCUGCCCCUAGGCAUAGGGUGGCCCCGGUCCACAGGUGACUCACCUCUCCUGGCCUGGAGGUGAGCACUCCUCCUGCGGGAACUUAGUUCCCUCCACCUCUCUGCCCUGAGCCUCUGCAGCUCAGGAGAGACUGGAGGGUUACCGGACCCAGAAGAAACCUCAGCUUCCUCUGACGGGGCUGAGAGUGGAGCACCUGCAGGCAAUAGGUCCUCAGGAGCCAGAGCAGACUCAGCUGGUGCCUGCACCUGAGGAUCCAGCACAGGUGAGGGCCCUUCAGGCUCAUGCCCCAGCCCCGGCUCAGCUGGUUCGGGAGGCGGGGAAUCCUGUGCAAGCUGGGAUCCCUCAGGUUCAGCAUCCGACUCCGAAUCCCAGGCCAUCACAGCACAUUUGGUGAGAGGUGUAGCCUAGGGAGAAUUCUGACGGCUGGAUAGGAAGUUCAUUUAAGUUUAUUAUGUGACCACCACAGCCUGCAGUUCCCCACCCAUGCUUAAAAUGUUAGUUGCUUUGGACGCAAUAUAUUCUGGGGUUCCUUCUGUCAGUGGCGCAGCUCAGAAGCAUCUUUGGCAAAUGAGUGAAGUAGGGGAAUUUACUCUCUGGAAAGCACCUGGAUCGAGGCUAAGUGCUGAAGCACCUGAAAAGCACCAAAUCCUGGACAGGGACACACUCCACUCCUCCCAAGGAAAAUGACACUUCUUUCGUAAUCGUUGCCGCAGUGGGCUGAACAGAAAAGCCAUCAAAGAAACGGACAAAUGCAUUUUGAACAAACAGGAACCAAAGGGGACGAAACAUAUUCUAACCUAAAAACAAAUGAUGGAAUGCAAUGCAUCUACAUCUCAAUUUCAUCCCAACGCUGAGCAUGGCUGAUCACAAAGCACUUUGAAUGGGCCCAUGUGCCGUGAAGAUUCUCCUGCUUCAAUUCACACCACAGGUGCCAGGUGCCCUGGAGGUCUCUCACAUCCCCUCUUCUGCCCAGAGUUAGAAAAGUGGACCAAUAUCUUCCCCUAAAGGUUAAAUGUGAAAUAGCAGUCAUCCUAUACCUAUAGGCUUUGUAGAACACCCAAACUAAUGGUGUAAUAUGAAUAACGUUCUUUACUGGUGCUCUAUCACCGCUCUUUUAAGGACUUGAGUAAGAAGAAGCUUUUCUAGAAUAUUUUUGGCUGAUGUAGACUCGUUUUUUAAUCUUGGAUAUACAUUUUGUGAUACUGCUCCUAUGUCUUGCCAGUGAUGUCAUCAGGGCAUCAGUAUGAAUCUCGACUUAGUGAUAUUACCAUGUCAUGGACUUCCUAGAGUGAUUUUCUGCUAUCUUAACUAUGUAGCACAUGAGACCACCGUGAGAGUUAUUCCAUAACGCACAGCACUCUGCCUCCAGCGUUGGAAUAAAUUUGCCUCCCAGUAACAGCUGCUUGGAAUCCCCAGUGAAGAGAGUCCCUGUCACUCUCAGGUCCCGCUUGCAAGCAUCCCAUAGUCAUCUGGCUGGCUCUUUGUGAGAACAGCAUGUUGGACUAGAUGGGCCUUUGACCUGAUCCAACAAAUCUCUACUUGUGGUCUUAUAGACCUGCAAACUUUUCAUUUCCCUUUUUGCUUUGGGAGGGAGGGUGGUAUUGAACUGAAAUAGCUAAAUCUGCAAGAUGUAUUGAUCUGUGCAUGGAAAAUAGGGGUUUGUGUGCGAACUCAACCUAGAGAAGGGAUGGGAGGCCAUCUCAUUCCUGUUCCCUUAAUCUCUAGGAUGCAAAGAUUAUUUGGCUGAUGUAGACUGGUUUUUUAAUCUUGGA